UGUUGUACUGGAAUGCAGAACACUGAAUAAUUUUCUUCCCUUUUAAUCUAAAUUCAGGGAAGUUUUGGGCCUUGAUCUAAGCCUUGCUGGGAGGAAUCAGGCUAUGUGACUACUGCAUAAUGGAUCAUUUUUACUCCAGUAGCCAUAGGAUUUGCUGCAGGAAAGACCUCUCUGCCUUGGAGGGACCAUAUCCAAAUCAGCCAGGAGUUGCUGUUGAAU
rnacentral:lncRNA from 12 species